AUCAUGAGUUCACAUGUCCGCAUGAUUAAAGGUAUUUUCCGGUAGACGAUGGGGAUGCGUUCCAUUAGAUAGUAGGCGGGGUAACGGCCCACCUAGUCAACGAUGGAUAGGGGUUCUGAGAGGAAGGUCCCCCACAUUGGAACUGAGACACGGUCCAAACUCCUACGGGAGGCAGCAGUGAGGAAUAUUGGUCAAUGGGCGAUGGCCUGAACCAGCCAAGUAGCGUGAAGGAUGACUGCCCUAUGGGUUGUAAACUUCUUUUAUAAAGGAAUAAAGUCGGGUAUGCAUACCCGUUUGCAUGUACUUUAUGAAUAAGGAUCGGCUAACUCCGUGCCAGCAGCCGCGGUAAUACGGAGGAUCCGAGCGUUAUCCGGAUUUAUUGGGUUUAAAGGGAGCGUAGAUGGAUGUUUAAGUCAGUUGUGAAAGUUUGCGGCUCAACCGUAAAAUUGCAGUUGAUACUGGAUGUCUUGAGUGCAGUUGAGGCAGGCGGAAUUCGUGGUGUAGCGGUGAAAUGCUUAGAUAUCACGAAGAACUCCGAUUGCGAAGGCAGCCUGCUAAGCUGCAACUGACAUUGA
rnacentral:rRNA from 1 species